CAAGAGUGCAGAAAUAAAAAGCUUGAUUUUUGCUUCUUUUAAAACAAAGAAACCAAGGAUUAAGCAGCGGCCAGACAACCGUAGCGAUGGUAUCCACAGAUGAAGGGCUAAUUUCUUUUUUAAUCCCUUUUUUGUCUACUGAUUCCAUCUCACAUUU
rnacentral:snoRNA from 1 species